GUUCAUUUUUAAGGGCCAUCUCCUUCAGGAAUCCUAUACCUAGCUCCACCAUGCUUGAUGUAUCCUUCUCUGAAGUUUUUUGGGUGGUUUGCAUAUCAAUGGGUGGUCCUGGUCCUGGUCCUGGAGUCCCCUUUGUAAGGAGGGUGGAGACAGAAUCCACUGGCACUGGUUACAAGCUUGCAAAAUUGUAUAGCAUUGGUGCAAUAUAAAACCAGUAGAUGCAAAGAGUGCCCAGAGAAUAAAACCCACAUCCCUAAUGGGAUUGGGGUCAUGUGAUUGCUGCAGCUGUAAAGAAUCAUCGGUCCUGGAAAACAUAAAAAUAAAUUAUCCCUUUUACCACUACUUUCAGAAAGGUGGUAAGGGGACGCCCUAGUAUUGAUCCCUUAUUCCUUUUCCUACCCAUCACUCUUCCUUCCCUCCAAAGCAUGGUUUUUGGUAUCAGUAUCGGAUUAAUACGUAUUGGUAUUAAUAUCAGUAUCAGUAUUACUGAUAACAUAUUGUAUUUUGAUAAUUAUAUCUCUAUAUUUUUAGUUAUUAUUCACUGAUUUGAUAUCAGUUAAGUA